rnacentral:rRNA from 1 species
GAUGAACGCUGGCGGCGUGCCUAACACAUGCAAGUCGAGCGAUCUUCUUCGGAAGAGAGCGGCGGACGGGUGAGUAACGCGUGGGUAACCUGCCCUGUACACACGGAUAACAUACCGAAAGGUAUGCUAAUACGGGAUAACAUAAGAAAUUCGCAUGUUUUUCUUAUCAAAGCUCCGGCGGUACAGGAUGGACCCGCGUCUGAUUAGCUAGUUGGUGAGGUAACGGCUCACCAAGGCGACGAUCAGUAGCCGACCUGAGAGGGUGAUCGGCCACAUUGGAACUGAGACACGGUCCAAACUCCUACGGGAGGCUG